AAUCAUUUUAAAAUAGACAGUUUAAUAAGCCAAUCAAAUUGAUCGUAUUGUCUUUUAAAUUUGUGUUAUUUCAAUAUUUUAAAAAAGUAACACGAUUCGACUUCAAUGAUUAUGAAAAUGAAAUUUUUUUGUUUCAUAAUAUCAUUUACCUUUGUUAAUGUUUUGGCUGAUAUUACUGAGGAAUAUAAGACAGCGAUUGCCGUUACAAACAAACACAUCGACCUUGCAGGAGAUAGAUUGCCAGACGUUAUAAGAAAUAUUAUUUUUGGACGUGCACCGAUGG